rnacentral:lncRNA from 1 species
UUAUCGUGGGUGGAUAAUUGUGCCGUGAGUAUAUAUCCCACUUGAACUGCCGGUCUGGUAUAUAGAAGUCACGACUGUACCAUUUAUGGUGAAACUUUUGUCUAUUUUACACGCUGCUAAGGAAAUAGUCACCUUCUUUAUGUACUACAUAAGGUGCAAUCAUACGGCGGCACUGGUUCUGGGAGCAACACCCGUCCCGCCUCCGUCGCCGGCAGCGGUGGGUCACCAGUGGAUCAGAGACCAGCUUCCAGAUCAUCUGGAGAGUCGGAGUUGUCUGUGGGAGGCACGAAAGAGAAGAAAGACAAGAAGGGCGUAUUCGGCGGACUGUUCAGCAGAAAGAAACGACCGCAAAGCCACAUGUAACACGAAAACGUCGCGGCACGGAAGUUGAAACUGACGGAGCGGUGUGGUGGGUACAAACUCCAUAAUUUAAUGGUUAAUAAACGUGUAAAUCAUGUUGAAAAGAAACUAAGGAGAAAUUUGCCGCAUAUGCUAACUAAAACCCAGCGUUUUCAACUUCUGUCAUUUUUGUUUGAACAUUUUUUUUUGGAUGUAAUUUUAACAUUUUUUUUUAAAUUGCCAUUAAAUUUUUUUUAUUUUUUUUUAAAUUCGCCAUUUUUUGAUAGUCUAAUAUCACUUUGUUAUUCAUUUAGUAUUUUUUUAAUUGGCAACAUUUGCUUAAGAAUUUACUUUGAUGAACUUAGAUUGUUCUUUUUUUUCUAACGUAGUUAAAAUCAAAUUCUUGUCCAUCAGUGCCUUUAAAAUAUGUUAAGUAAUUGUUUAAUGGCAACAUUACGAAAAACUAUUUAUGAUUGUUAAGAUGUAUGGCAACGUAAAUGUUUGUUAAAAAAAGUCAAAAUCUUGUCUAAUCGUGCCUUCUUACUUAUAUUUUAAAAAAUGUGUUACGUAUUUUUAAUAUGGCAACAUUAGAACUUGCACUUAUGAAUCGAUAUAAGAAUGUUAAUUUUCAUUAACACAUUUUGUGCCUUUUUUGUAUUUAUAAAGAAAAAUAAAAUGUAGAUAUCCGAUAAGUUUCUAUUAUUCCUUUAUCGUACUUUAAAUUUUAGGUCAAAAUUGGCCUUUUUUACUGUCUAAUCAAAGUGCCUUUUGAAUCGUUUGAUUUAUUUUUAUAUUCUAAGCACAGAUUAAAAGGAAUUUCCGUAAACCACUAUGGACGAGUAAUAUUAGUAGAAUCAAAAAGGCUAGAACCAAAAAGCCAGUUACAAAAGAAAACACUUGUUUUUUUCUAUGUUUCUUCAGUACAAGCUUAAAGGUAAUUUAUUAGGCCUAAAAAUAUUUAACUAAAAAAUUUAAUUAAUACAUUCAACCAUUAAACAUUAAUUAAAUAAUGAAAAAUAGUUAAUUUAAUGUACAAAUUGUUCUUGUUUUUUACAAACUUUCUAAAAGGAGUAUCUAGGCUCUAUGUUCGGCUUUUUCUCUUAUAGUUCACGAGUUCUACCAUAAAUUAGUGAAUAAUAAUUUUUUUUAGCUUUGGUAUUAAAGACAAAGGUAUUACUCCGUACAGCCACAAAGUUGUAUUAAAUGAUAAUAAUUUUACAUUUAACAUUUAUAAGUUUCAACUUCACAGUUUUCAAUGUCCUUUUAAUCUGUGUCUUUGAGUUAUUUUUUUUUUAAUAAUUGUUAAUAAAGUGAGCAUUGGCAAACAAAUCAGUCACAAAAAAAGUUCUUGCAUCUAUUAAUCUUUUUAAAAAAUAAUGUCUGUAAGGUCUGAAUCACAUUUCAUAUCAUACUAAUAAAUGCAUCGCAUAAAUAUUCCCGUGGGUAAUACGGGGAUAAAAAAUAGCCCAGGUUAUUUGCUAAUAAUAUUGCUUUUCAUUCUAAACAAAGAAACAAACUUACUUUUGCAUAAUUUAUUGGUUAUAAUUAUAAACUGCUAUUAAAUGUGAUUCAGGCAUUCGAAUACAUUCCUGUUAAAACUACAAAACAUUCCUUAAAUGCAUUUGUUUAUACAAAAAUCAAGUAAAGUAUUAAAUUGACAAUAAAACUUAAAGAAAUAAAAAACUAAAUUAGUUACUUUAAGACAAUAUAUAAUAACGCAUCAUUUUAUAUUAUUUUUUAUUAUUGUUAAGUUGAGAUUUUUAAUCUUAAUAACUUGGAUUAUUAUUUAAAAAAAAAAGGUUUUAUUAAAAAAAAACGUGAAUUCCAAUUUUGACACCAACAGUUGUAUCACUAAGCUUAUGAGCAAUCAAUUAAUCAAGUAAUUGUUAUUAAAAUAACCUUGAAAAUUAUUAUUAAUUUGAAAGUUUACGUAGUUAGAAGUCAAAAUAA